GGGGCUGUAACGGUUUCGACGUUUUGACGAAAGUCACCCUGUGAUACAGGCCGAGAGGGAGUCCACUCUCGUAAAUCUAGGCUCAAACAAAAAGUAAAUGCGAACAACAUCGUUCCUUUCGCUCGUAAAGCAGCUCCCGUAGCCGCUUAAUUUAACAAAAUGCGAGCGUCCGCAG
rnacentral:tmRNA from 1 species